rnacentral:tRNA from 1 species
GCCCGGUUAGCUCAAUCGGUAGAGCGUGAGACUCUUAAUCUCAAGGUUGCGGGUGAGUUAUAUGUUCGAAACCUGGAUGCUCGCAUAUAAAAUACUAACAUGGUAAAUAGGUUCGACCCCCGCAUUGGGCU